rnacentral:lncRNA from 10 species
GUGGCGGGGGCGCGGCGGAGACCUGCGGGGGCUGCUGGGCACCCCUCUCAGGCGUCUGCGCUGGGCCGGCUUGCAUGUCCACCCGAACGCUUCGCACUUCUUUGCCCUUGUCCUCGCAGCCUUAAAUCUGCGACCUUCCCUGGGGGCACAGUCUGGUCCUACUUGAUUGAUAGUUCUGUGUUUUGAGAGGUUUUAAAGCUCUUCAGCUCGGGACCUCGGCGCCCACACCACGCGCCCAGCUCCCUCACCCUCUGUCGGCAACGCGGCCACCACUGCUCACUGCCCCUCCUGCAUGGCCCCUGCCAACGCUAAUACCAGAGUUAGGCCGAUUGGAAAUGGAAGCUUUGUUUCACCUAAAUGUUUAUUUAGCAAAGAGUUCGUCCCCAACGUUAGUCGUAAUUGUGGAGUCGGUGUAAUUAGUUAUUAGCUUCUUUCUCUGCCUCUUCUCUGCCUUCCGCCGCGUGCCCAGAGCCCCAUUCGCAUUUCAUCGGAGAUGGACGUGCCACCUUCAGCUUCCACAGGGGAAGAGGCCCUGCCACAGUCAUUUAAAUGGAUUGUGUAGGGAUUCCUGACACAGCUAGCGAUUCAUUGAGGUGGCAAGAUAAACUGGCGGAAUGAGGCCUUUAUCAAAGGCCUUUAUCAAAGAGGAGUCUGCUAUCAACUUAGUAACAAAUUUGGGGAUCCUGAUCUGGAAUUGGAAGAUCCACGUCACCCUCCUUCAUGGACCUGGAGCUCCCCACUUCCACACCACCACCAGCGGGCACAUGCGGCAGAUGUUGACAUCUUGCUGGAGUUGCAACACUCAAGAAGAAACAAAAAGAAAAGACCUCCUCUGGCGUGGUCACCGGCCAGAUCACACAAAGUUCUACCUGAACUACUAGAGGCUCCCCCUUGUGUCUCCCAAGGGUCAGUUAAACUUCUUUUUUUUGAGACGGAGUCUCGCUCUGCUGCCCAGGCUGGAGUGCAGUGGCGCGAUCUUGGCUCACUGAAACCUCCGCCUCCUGGGUUCAAGAGAUUCUUCUGAUUCAACCUCCCGAGUAGCUGGGAUUACAGGCGUGUGCCACCAUGCCCAGCUAAUUUUUUUGUAUUUUUAGUAGAGACAGGGUUUCACCAUGUUGGUCAAGCUGGUCUCGAACUCUUGACCUUGUGAUCCCCCACCUCGGCCUCCUAAAGUGCUGGGAUUUACAGUCGUGAGCCACCGUGCCUGGCCGAACUUCUUUUUAGGAUAACUGGAUUACAACAGGAUCACUUGGAUCCAUACUCUGAACAUUUAACUCCAAGGUGUUUGGGCCAAAGAGGAAAAUAAAAAUACUCAA